AAACUCAUGUUGCUGCGUACUCUCUCCUCUCCCGUAAACACUCAAAUUCAAACUCGCUGCAGUGUGCUCUUUUUCUAGGGUUUCAAGCGCGGCAUCACCGCUGGAAAAUCAACUCUCCGAUUCAAUCUUUCUCUCUCGCCGAACUCCGAUUCAAUCUUUCUCUCUCUCCGGACCUGGUUUCAAGGCGCCGCUCCGAAAUCAAUCCUCCGAUUAAAUCUAUCAUUCUCGCCGAAGAUGGUUGUAGUAAUGGAGCCACAAUAAGUGAUAAGUGGAGGGAUUCAUCAAGACAUAUAAUUCAUGACAAUAUCUUUGUAUAUGGUGCUCUACGCCCUUUGGUUUCAAUAUCCAUUCUAAUUUGCAUGUGACAUGAUCGCCAUGUGAUCGCGUUCAAGGAAAAUUCAAGGUCUUUUGCAAAUUUGCACCUUUAAAUCAAGGUGGCCUAUUUAGAACGAAGCGCAGCCGCAGAUCUUCUCUCAGUCCUAUACAGCCCGAUGGAUGCUUCAUUGAACCGAAGCCUCUUUUCAAUAUCUCCCCCAAGUCUUAUGAUGGUUGAUUAGGUGAUACCGUGUUCCAAAGGAAUCACCAAUCUUUUCUCAGUCCUAGUCGUCCUCACACUGAUUCAUCAAAUAACAGUUAUGUGUUAUACAACUCUCCCCAGUUUACCUCCGCCGGAUCAAGUUGUUUGUCAAAUAUUUCAUCCGAAGGCACUUUAAUAAAGCAGUUUCAGGAUAGCAAUAUACACAAAAAUAUUUUUUCUACAAUUUCUUCAAAUAAUAUUAAAUUUAUAUAAACAUUUUUUAUUAGAAACAUUUUGCUUGCCCCGAAGCGGGCACACAUACUAGUUUAUAUGUAGAUGUAUACGUAUAGGUGUAUGUAUAGGUUCAUACAGUGACUUCUAGACAACCCAUGUCGAGAAAGUCAUUUGGUACACAUCCUCAUAUAUGUUGAAUGUCUAGGUUAGUUAAUAUAUCCUGUUUCUUAUGUUCGAUGAAAUGCCUGAAUGAAAUUUAGCAACAAAAAGAUUUAUCUGACUAAAACUGAGGAGUAUUAGUCAUCAAUGUGAAAUUUGUUAAAACCAACUCAGUUGGAUAUAUAUAAAAUUUUCGCAAAUUAACUAAUGAAUAGUUACUUGAUUUAGCUACUAUGGUUGGAGCAAAACUUUUUUUUGUCUAGGAAGGUUAGUGAUGCUAUCAUGAAUCGUUGUCACUGGUCUUCUCUCUAAUCUCCACUCUAAGCUGUAACCAGUUCCGUUAUCUACUAGAGUUCGGCAUGAAUUUCGAUUUUUUUUUAUAAGAAAUUGAGUCAUUGAUGAACACAUUAAAUAUUUGGCAUUUAAUAAUAAAUGUGUAUUGUUCGACUUAUAUUUGGUAAAAUUUAAAUACCAAUGAAAUUAACAUCGAGCUAGAACCCAAACUGGACCUGAAAGUUUGAACAUUUGGAGAGAUUCAAUAAUUUAUUAGAGGAUUUAAGGGGACUUUUCUUGACGUGAAACCUCUCAAUAUAACUGUAAUUGUAUUUCUCAUGAUCAUGUUUAAUCUUAAUAUUAAAAAAUCAUGUGUUCUAGAUGUUUAUAUCCAUGAAUUUCUUCUAUUAUUUAAAUGUUUUUUCCAUUUUCUCAACUUCAAGACUUCAUGAGAAAAUAAAUAAUUUUCUAAUGAUUAUUUAUUCCGACAUUAAAGGAGCUAUCUUUGAUGUAUGCUUAAGUCAGGAAGAAGAGACUGGCAUAGUUUGUAUCUACAUUUGAGAUCUAGAGCUAUUUUCUUGUAUGAAGCACAACUGGAGCAGUCAAGUGCUUCUCCAAACGCAAAAGCAGCCAUGCAGCACUGAAGUACAGAUCUCGUCACUGUUGAAAUUGACAUUAUUCCAUAUUUAUUCCCAAUACUGAGACUGUAAAAGUACUACCACAUCUGCAAAACCGAUUCCAUCAUAGAUUGGAAGCCCUUGAAAUCGAGAAAUGGGGACUAGAGGCGACGAGGGCGAAAGGUUGACGGAAGUUGACUUGUUAAUUGAGGUGCUUUCGAGGCUUCGUGUGAAGCCCUUGCUUCGUUGCAAAUCUGUGUCUAAAUGAUGGUACGCUCUCAUUUCAAGCCCUAAUUUUGUCAAAUCUCAUCUUUAACGUGCAAUCACAAGUUGUGUUGUAGAUGAUGAGGAUGAAAAUAAUCUCAUAGUCCAUUUCCAUAGACAGUGGAAUCGUCUUAAAUAUAAAGUAGCAGGCCGUUCAUUUUCACUCUGCAACCUCAGUUCUGGUCAUACUACGACAGAUCUUAAUUUUCCUUACCCUCAAGGAGAGUAUCCCAUUGAUCCUCCCUCUCUUCUCGUUGGUUUUGUUUGUGGAAUUGCUUGUAUUUGUGUUGAUGGCUCUGAUAGUUUCAGAAAUUUAUGCAUGCCUACUGCUCAUCUACCAAGUAAUAUAUACCUUUGGAAUCCUGCAAUUAAACAAUCUAAACUUAUUCCUCAGCAUACUAUACAUGAUAUUGAUAACACAGACGUCGCUUUAGGCUUUGGAUUUGAUCCCAUUGAUUUUGAUUUUAAGGUUGUUAGAGUUGUUAGAGCUAUUUUGAGUUCCAUUUCUCCCGAGGUCUAUUUUACAAACAGGGACGCUUGGCAAAAUAUUGACUCUAACUUGACCGAUGUACCCAACAGCAGAAGUUUCAAGGUAUGCCUCCAUGGAUUUUUGAUUACGACUGGAAAAACUGGUCUGAUUGCUUUUGAUCUAAACAAGGAGGUGUUUGUGUGUGAUAUUAAGCUUCCUGUCAACACUAGUGGCGCUCGUCCUCUUUACUCAUAUGAUGAUCAAGUCGUUGUCUUCAAGGAUUCUAUUGCUGUUAUUAACUCUUGGCAUGAUGGACCGGAUAGGAUCAAUUUGUGGACAUUAGAUGACGAGGCAUGCCUUCGUGAUGGUGGAGUCCAGACAUCAUGGACUUUAAAGCUUAAUAUUGGUCUUGAUGUCCCCUUUUACCAUGUCCAGAGCCUUUAUAACAGCGUUGACUUGUUACUAUUUCACGAGGGGCGGUGGUUCUUGUACAAUUUAGACACGAAUGUGUGCAGAUAUAUCUAUUCCAGAGAAUUUAUUUGUUUUGAAGAAGAUUUUUUCAAGUA